rnacentral:snRNA from 11 species
GGAUGUGAGGGCGAUCUGGCUGCGACAUCAGUCACCCCAUUGAUCGCCAGGGUUGAUUCGGCUGAUCUGGCUGACUAGGCGGGUGUCCCCUUCCUCCCUCACCGCUCCAUGUGCGUCCCUCCCGAAGCUGCGCGCUCGGUGGAAGAGGACGACGUCCCAGGUAUAGAAGGGGGGAUGCAACAAACUCAAAACUACAAAGAACAUGCCUUUAGCCCAUCUGCUGUCUCAACUUAUCUGUGUGAGUAUGUACAUAUGUGACCCAAUAAUACAACUUUGAAAUGGUUGUUCAGCUUUGGCUUAAUCAG